CCGGUUCCGGUUCACGCCCGAGCCCGUCGUGACGACGGGGCGCACCGACGGCGACCCGGCGACC
rfam:Micromonospora aurantiaca ATCC 27029, complete genome.